UACGUAGGGUGCAAGCGUUGUCCGGAAUUAUUGGGCGUAAAGAGCUCGUAGGCGGUCAGUCGCGUCUGCUGUGAAAACUCGGGGCUUAACCCCGGGCCUGCAGUGGGUACGGGCUGACUAGAGUGCGGUAGGGGGAGACUGGAAUUCCUGGUGUAGCGGUGAAAUGCGCAGAUAUCAGGAGGAACACCGGUGGCGAAGGCGGGGUCUCUGGGCCGUAACUGACGCUGAGGAGCGAAAGCGUGGGGAGCGAACAGG
rnacentral:rRNA from 1 species